rnacentral:rRNA from 1 species
AGUGGCAGACGGGUGAGUAAUGCGUAGGAAUCUACCUAGUAGUACGGAAUAGCCAUUAGAAAUGGUGGGUAAUACUGUAUAAUCCCCGAGGGGGAAAGAUUUAUCGCUAUUAGAUGAGCCUACGUUAGAUUAGCUAGUUGGUGAGGUAAUGGCUUACCAAGGCUAUGAUCUAUAGCUGGUCUGAGAGGACGAUCAGCCACACUGGAACUGAGAUACGGUCCAGACUCCUACGGGAGGCAGCAGUGGGGAAUAUUGGACAAUGGGCGAAAGCCUGAUCCAGCUAUGCCGCGUGAGUGAAGAAGGCCUUCGGGUUGUAAAACUCUUUCAAUAGGGAAGAUAAUGACGGUACCUAUA